CUGGGGAACCUCUCAAACCUACACUAUCUCGACCUUCAGGGAUGGUAUUAUGAUGAUUUUCUACAUGUUGAUGAUCUCGAUUGGCUCUCCCGUAUUCCUUCUCUAAAAUAUCUUGACAUGAGUUAUGUCAACCUCUCCAAAGCAACCAAUUGGUUCUACAUAAUUAAUUCAAUCCCCACACUUGAAGUGCUACAUUUGAUUUAUGUAGACCUGCCAUAUGUUCCAUCUCCUUUGCCCCCUUUUAAUCUGACAGACAUUGCUACGUUGGAUCUGUCUUUGAAUUCUAACAUCACGUCUGCCAUGCUAAGAUGGCUUUCUAACGCCACCAGCCUCGAGAACCUCCUUCUUUCUGGCUGUGGGAGUCUCACUAUCGAGUCGGUACAAGUUGCUCUAGGAGCUCUCCUUAAUCUGAAGGAAUUGGAUUUGUCAUUCAACUCCCUUAAAGGAGAAAUUCUUGAAAUUCUGAACAAUGUCAGUAGCAGUGGCCUGAAGCACUUGGAUUUGAGAUGGAAUCAAUUAUCUGGAGAUAUUCCUCGAGGGAGCCUUAGAGACCUGGAGUACCUAGACUUAUCAACGAAUUUAAUUGUCGACGUGCAUAUCUUAGCUUCUCUGGGGAAUCUCACAAACUUGCGACAUUUAGACUUGGGGUACAAUUUGAUCAGCGGAGAAAUUCCACCGACCGUGGGAGAUGCUGUCCGAUUGGAGUACCUAUAUUUGUCCUAUAAUGGCAUCAUUGGAAAAAUACCACAGAGCAUGGGGAACCUCAGUAACCUAUUGGAAUUACAUUUAUCAGGCAACAAAAUUGUGGGAUGGAUACCACCGAGCAUCGGCAACCUCAGUAACCUAUUGGAAUUACAUUUAUCAGGCAACAAAAUUGUGGGAUGGAUACCACCGAGCAUCGGCAACCUCACCAACUUGGUAUACUUAGAUUUAUCGAGGAAUAAUAUUGUCGGUUGGAUACCACCGAGCAUCGUCAACCUCACCAACUUGGUACACUUAGAUUUAUCAAUGAAUAAUAUUAGCGGAUACAUUCCAGAGACUUUGGGUACUCUCAUCCAUAUGGAGGAAUUAUAUUUGUUUAACAAUCGUAUUUCUGGACAAAUACCAGAAACCAUUGGGGAUCUUCAAAAUCUACGGAUAUUAUUUUUAAGCAAUAACCAUAUUUUUGGGCAGAUACCAAAGAAGAUCGGUAAACUCCACUACUUGCAAAACUUGGACAUGUCAUAUAACAACUUAUCAGGUCAGAUACCAACUACGUUGGGUGACCUAUGCAAUUUGACCGUGUUAGAUUUGUCUCACAAUAACAUUGGUGGAGACCUUACAAAUCUAUUCUAUGGUUUGUCUACUUGUUCACAAGGAGCAUUUUUAUCAUCCUUAGUCCUGAAGGGUAACAAUUUGAGUGGGAUUAUUCCUUCGAGCAUGGGCCAAUUAUCUCGGCUACAAGAGGUAGACCUCUCCUCAAACUCGCUGGCUGGCAACAUUACCGAAGCACACUUUUUAAAUCUUACGAGCUUAUCAAAAUUGAUAAUCGCUUCCAACUCCUUGAAUGUGAUGCUACCGAAUGAUUGGCGGCCCCCUUUUAAUGCCUCCAUUAUCGAUAUGAGCUUUUGUCAUCUACGAGGAAAAUUUCCUGCUUGGAUUCGGACUCAACAACAAUUGCAAAGUCUUUAUCUAUCUGGAGUUGGAGUCUCAGGCAGCCUCCCUAUUUGGUUUUCAAAUUUCUCAAAAGGUUUGAAAAUUCUUUACUUGAGCUCCAACUAUUUGACUGGUCAAUUACCUUCUCCUCCCCAAUUGAUAUUGAUAUUGGAUCUUUCCAACAACUCAUUUGUUGGACCUAUUCCAUUGAGCUUCGAAGAAGCUACGUACCUCCUUUUUUUAUCUUUGUCUCAUAAUCAUAUGAAUGGUGAUUUUCCUCCCUUCUUUUGUAAUCUGAAUUUCCUUAUGAUUCUCGACCUAUCUAACAAUCACUUAAUUGGAAAAGUCCCCGAUUGUCAUAAUUCAUUUCCAAUCUCUCUACGAUCUUUACAUUUAAAUAAUAACAAUUUAUCUGGAAGGAUUCCUUCAUUUUUGAAAUACUGUAACCAAUUAAUUAACCUUGAUUUAGGUGAAAAUAAAUUAUUUGGUAAAAUUCCGAAAUGGAUAGGAAGAAACCUCUCGUCAUUGAAGGUUCUUAGUCUGAGGUCAAACUUAUUAAAUCGUGUUAUCCCUGAGAACAUAGUGAAUCUCACUUCUCUUCAGGUUUUGGAUCUUUCUUCCAACAAUUUAUUUGGUAGCCUACCAUCAUCUCUAGGAAAUUUCACUGCCAUGGUUGAGGUACAAAAUGACACGAGGUCAUUGAUUGAAGAUUACUAUUCUUACAUCGAGAGCAUCUUAUUCACAACAAAGGAAUUAAUAGUUGAAGAACACUGUUCUUAUAGCGAGAGCAUCUUGCUAACUACAAAAGGGGAAAUUGCUGAUUACACAACCAUUCUCUCGCUCGUGACAUUCAUAGACUUGUCAAAUAAUCAGCUCUCUGGUGAAAUCCCGAAAGACCUGACAAAGCUUCUCGGACUGCGCUUCCUAAACUUAUCCAACAAUCAUUUGACGAGGAGGAUUCCAGAAAACAUUGGUGACAUGAAAACAUUGGAAUCGCUUGACUUAUCUGUGAACAGUCUGAUAGGGGAGAUACCUUCGAGCUUUUCUGCUAUGCAUUUCCUGGAACGUUUGAAUCUGUCUUACAACAACUUAUCAGGAAAAAUACCCACGAGUGGUCAAUUGUCGACCUUUGACCCUUCGACAUAUGUGGGUAAUAAAGGCCUUUGCGGUAUGCCACUGCCAGCUUGCCCUGUUUAUCAAACUCCACCCGAUGCCAGAGUUAAAGAUGAUGAGAAGCUCGACAAAUUAUUGGAGUACACCAGUAUUGUGGUUGGAUUUGUGGUUGGCUUCUGGCUGUUUAUUGGCACUCUCAUCAUGAAGCAGGCCAUCAGAUUCGCUUUCUUCCGACGGAUCGACAAGACCAUUGACUGGAUCUAUGUUCAGUUUGCAGUUAAGCUUGCGAAGCUCAAAUCCAAAUGGCAAACAACGACAUGAACUGCCGGUAAGUGCUAAAGUGUGUCAUGUUUUCCUUUGUAGUUAGUCGCAUCGAAAUCUUGCGUUAGCAUGUAAUGAUGUUAUCAUAUUAUGCUGUCAUGAUUAAGCUGAAAUAAGCAUCAUGGAUUCCCUGUAUACAUUACAUGCAUUAGUUCUAGUAUCAUAACAUCUCCAUCUAUCAUCACUUUGCUAUCGCAAGGCCUUCGCUUAUGGAUUGAUACAUACAUAUCUGACAACUAAAAAGAUUAAUUGCAAGAGUGUAUGUCAUACAUACUCUGUUUGCUAACGAAAUAGUUAAUCUACCUAUAUUUAAUCGAUGUUUGAGAGGGAAGAUUGUGUUCUUCUGUUAGUGUCCUUACGAUAGAAAAAAAAAUUCAACUUUGUUAUUAUGCUCAAAUUAGAUAAAGAUAAUGACAAUCACAGUAUGGAGAGACAAUUAGACAAUAAAAUUGUAACCAUUAUUGUGGACAUGCUCUUAGCGUUUGGCUGAAAUCAAUGUCUUAUUCGAGUGGCGAAUCUUUUUUUUCUGAGAAGAGACUGUAUAAUUUGAUUCUUCUCCACAUUCAUAUGGUAUGAGACUCACUCUUCAUUUUCUACCAAAGUACAUAUUUUUUUUCUGCAAAAAUAAAAUCCACGUCCAACGAAUUAUUUUUUUCUAAAAGUGAAUUAUUAUUAAUAAAUAAGUUUUAUAAAUUCAUAGCAAUCCCACUCUAGACUGCUUAUUCCUAUCAUUUGGGUGCUAAAUCUUGAGACCUUUUGAAUAUAUAAUUGUCUUAAGAGAGAUAUUUUAUGUUUCUUGAUUGAGUUUUUUUCGUUAAUCAACAUUUUAUGUUAUAUGCGUUUGUUUCAAUAUUCAUAACAUGAGAGCAUAUAUAUAUAUUUUUUGUUCCUUUUUCCUGGAAAUCAUAUUUUGCAGGACUGGCAGAACUUUGAUUUAGGUGUUACCAGAAUGCUUUAUAUAACUUCCCGAUUUGCUGCUAUUUUGGGGUUUAUAAUAAAAAGCAGAUUGCCACCAGUUCAGCUGAUGCAGGAGUCAAACUAGAAGAAGAUGACAAUGGAGAUAUGCUUGAAACAAUAAUAUUAGAUGUUACUAGCGUUGUCGUGGGAUUAAUAGUUGUUUCUGGGGUUUCUAUCGGCGUAGUGAUCGUGAAGCAAGGCUCAAGGAUUACUCUCUUCCAACAAAAUGACAACAUCUAUGGCUGCAUGCAGAUAUGUGCAGCUGAAAGCUGAAGCCCAAAAUAAUGACGAAGAAUCAAUUGAACUGUGGCUAAGUGCUAAGACUGUCUAUGUAGACUUCAUGUAUUUAUGUUCUAGUGUUUUAUUUCAUGAAUGACCAUUUGGUGUUGUCCAGAAAUAAGGUUGUUGUUUAAAUAUAACAUCUGAGACAUGGCAUCAGGAUUGCUCUGUUCCAGUUGAUCGGCAGGACUUGUGAUUGGAUCUAUGUGCAGGUGGCAGUAAAGCUUAAGGAACCGAAGUGCAAAUGGCGAAGAAUGACUUGAAGAAUCACCAAGCAUCUCAAGCUCAUGUCAUCCUCUUCAUGUUAUGAUGUAUUUAUGUUUCUUGUAAUUGUUGUAGUCUCUUUAGAGUCUUAAAUCUAUUGGCAACUUGCUGCUGCUUUUUAGUGUAGUGAAACUUAAUUUACUGCAUCACUUAUUGCUUCUUUUCCAGAAACAAACCAAUGGUCCACAGGAGGGCAAAUGAGUUGUCAUAACAUACGCAACAUAUUACUAUGAAUUGAGAAUUGCUCCAGUGGAAGCAUCAUAACUCCAUCCUACAUAUACAUGAAAUUGAUUUCAGUGAGUGCUUCAGGGGAUUCCAGCUGAGAACAAAGUGUGAUUAUGUUCAAUAUAUCUCAAUCAGGGGAAGACUUGCUCAUGCUUUCAUAAUGGAUUUAACCAUUCAAAGUGUUUUCUAUGGCCUUGGAAGUUGCUGUUCUGUUGUCAGAUCUCUUCAAUCUCUCAAACUCUCAACUAUUCAAAUCAUGCCUUAGUUUGAUGAACCAAAUGGAUUAAUCAAAAGAAUGAUUCUGGAUUAAUCAAAAGAAUUAAUCAAACCAAGCUUUCUCUUUAUAUGCUACUUCAAUCUCUCUGUGACCAAGCUUUCUCAGUGGAGAAAUUCCAAUAAUUUGGUUCAUUUAGAUAUAUCAAGUAACUUUAUUACCGGACAAUUACCACCACCGGGGAACCUCAUCAACUUAGAAUACUUAGAUUUAUCAUCCAACAAUAUCGUCGGAAGUAUUCCACAUACUUUGGGUUCUCUCAUCCAUCUCAAUAUAUUAAUCUUACUUCAAAAUGAUAUUUCUUGACGUAUACUAGAAACCAUUACAUUUCAAGAUCUUAAGUUAUACAACUUAGACGAAUACAAGAGACAAUUGGUAGACUCUAUCACUCGAAAAUUUUGAACAUAUCAUACAAUAACUUAUAGAUACCAAUGAUAUUAGGUAAUUUGACCAUGCGACUCUUUCUUUAAAUUAUUCUUAAUUUUUUAGGAAUUCUUUUUUACCCGAAACAUGGUUAUUUUUUUCAAAAUAAAUUUGUGUCCAACCAAGGAAACUUGUCCAAAACAUUUGAUGAGAGUAUAAACUUCUUAUGCCUAUCAAUCGGGUGCUAAAAGAUUGAAAAUUGGAUAACCAUCUCAAGAAAUAUUUUCUUUGGUAAUCAGAAUUCCUGCUUGAGUGGUUUUGGUCAACCAACGUUAAUUGCUUCAACAUAUUUACUGACCACAGCAAAAAAUGAUUAUGUGGAAUAUUUUUCCUUGACUGCCACAAAAUAAGUUUGGGAACGGACUCAAAAUUGGGUCGGAUUCGGGCUCGAAUCGAAUCGACUCGGGAUGUUGACCGAAGUCAACUUCUCACCGGCCCCACCUGCGUUCCUCGCCGCAGCCGUUCCCAUCGCCUGCGUUCACACAGUGCACCGCCGCACGCGGGGGCGUUUCACGCUCGCAGUCCUCCCCGCGGCCGCAGCCCGCUGUCUUCAUCGACGCCUCCCCGUGUGCCCGCACCGGCCCCCCCCAGCCACAGUCGCCGAAGUCGUCCAACGCAGCCGCAGUCGCACCUCUCCGCUCGCAGGCGGCGAGCCCUCCACCUUCCCUUGCUCCUAUAAAUAGAGCUUUGGGGAACAACAGCGAGGGAAGCGAAGGAGAGAACAACGAGAGAGAGGAAGAGAGGAGAAGUGAGUAAGGAGCCCAAAUCCGACCAAUGUUCUUCUCCGGCGAGAAGUCCAGUCGCCGAUCUCCGUCGCCGGCCAGUCACUGUGCUCAUUGCAGCACCAUUGAGGAAGAGAGGAGAAGAGGAAGAAGAGGAAUUUGACUGGUCAACCCUGGUCAACAUUGAUGAACAGAGGUAAUUUUGUAAUUUUGGUUUAUAUGGUAAAUUUUAGAUUUUUUUAUAAAGAAAGUGAAUGUUGCAACACUCCUAUUAAUCCUUUCAAUAUAUGGUAUUUGAGCCUUUUUACUAGAUUAUCAAGUUACCGGGCUUCAUCGAUAGACAUAAGAAACAAGAUCAAAAAAGUGGAUCGAAACAUCAACUACUCUCUAUAAACGAUAAAGAUGAAGACUAUCUGAAUAAAGGAGAAACAUCAUUACACUAUCUUCGGGAAAGAAAAAAUAACAAACAUGAAUGAGAAAAAGUAGAAUUUGAUCAAAGUGUUAUGACAAUUUUAUUUAUGUGCAUAUCCAAUGAAGCACUUUACGAUAUUGCCAUAAAACAAACAACAGUAAAAGUUUGAGACACAAAGCAUAUUAGUAGAAGACCCUUACAAGAAAAAUGACCCUCAAGUAUAUGUUGUACCGAAUGACAAAAGGAACCUUAGUGAAUCAAUACAUUAGUGUCUUUCAAACUAAAAUUCAUGGAUCUUGAGAAUAUGAAUGUUGUCAUCGACGAAGAAGACAAAGCCAUGUUAUUAUUAUUUUUAUAUAAAAACUUUUUGAAAAUAAUUUUAUAUUGAAAGAAUACCAUUUCUCUAGAUAUUAUGAUUUUAACCCUAGUGUCAAAAGAAUACCAUCUCUUUUAUAGACUUCUAGUUGACAAUGGAAACCUCCAAAAGUCAUGCUGAAGCUUUAAACUUCAUGGAGAGAUGUAGAGUUUAGGAAAGGAGACAGAAAUAAAUCUAUAGCCAAAUCUAGAUCAAAGUAAGUAUUAUUGCAAAAGGAAGGGCCACAUCAAAGCAGACUGUUGAGCUUAAAAUAAAAUGCAACAAUCAAAAUGCUAAAGCCUCAUGCAUAAACAAAGAGAUUGAGAUUGAGGUACUUAUGGCCUCCAUAUGCCACCAGGCCACAGGAUGGGUGGCUUUUGGACUCCAUAUGUUCCUUUCAUAUGAUACAACAUGGAUGUUAGUUCUCCACUUAUGAACUCACCCAAGAAGAAAAAGAUGCGCUUAUGGGAAGAACUCAUCGUGUUAGAUCAUCCAAACAGGACAAGUUAAAAUCAAGACACGACAUGAUUAUAAGAUCCUUGGUAAAGGUAUAGCACAUUCGUGAGUUAAAGAGAAACUUAACUUUAUUAUCCACUUUGGAUGCCUUAGGCUAUGACUAGUCUGACCAAUGAGCCCAAAUCGAACAAAAGUUCUUCGACAAAACAUUUUUUCAUCGAUCUUUGUCGUCGGUCCAUCGCUUAAUCUCAUUGCAACAGUUGUAAAGUAGAGAAAGUUGAUCGGUGAACUUUGGUUAUUGUUCUAACUCUCACAUCUUUAUCGUGAGUUGAUUAUUAUUUAACAGUUAAAUUGUUCACACCUAAAUCCCCAACACCCAAAUCUCUCGUAUUAAUCAAUCAACUCUCGAUAGCAUCAGAUUUAUGUCUCCUUCACAUAGGUUUGCAUCCGACUUGAGUCUCAGGCAGCCUCCCUAUUUGGUUUUCAAAUUUCUCAAAAGGUUUGAAAAUUAUUAACUUGAGCUCCAACUAUUUGAUUGGUCAAUUACCUUCUGCUCCCCAAUUCAUAUUGAAUCUAUCCAACAACUUAUUUGUUGGACCUAUUCCAUUGAGCUUGAAAAAAGCUACGAGACUCAUUUUGUUAUUUUUGUCUCAUAAUCAUAUCAACGGUGAUUUUCCUUUCUUCUUUUGUCAUAUGGAUUCACUUGGAGUUCUAGACCUAUCUAACAAUCACUUAAUUGGAGAAGUCCCCGAUUGUCAUAAUUCAUUUCCGAUCUCUCUACGAUCUUUACAUUUAAAUAAUAACAAUUUAUCUAGAAGGAUUCCUUCAUUUUUGAAAUACUGUGACCAAUUAAUUAUCCUUGAUUUAGGUGAAAAUAAAUUAUUUGAUAAAAUUCCGAAAUGGAUAGGAAGAAACCAUGAAGGUUCUUCGUCUGAGGUCAAACUUAUUAUAUGGUACUAUCCCUGAGAACAUAGUGGAUCUCACUUCUCUUCAGGUUUUGGAUCUUUCUUCCAACAAGUUCUUUGGUAGCCUACCAUCAUCUCUAGGAAAUUUCACUGCCAUGGUUGAGGUACAAAAUGACACGAGGUCAUUGAUUGAAGAUUACUAUUCUUACAUCGAGAGCAUCUUAGUCACAACAAAGGGAUCAAUGGUUGAGUACACAACCAUUCUCUGGCUGGUGACAUGCAUAGACUUGUCAAAUAAUCAUCUCUCUGGUGAAAUCCCAAAAGAACUGACAAAGCUUCUCGGAUUGCGCUUCCUAAACUUAUCCGAGAAUCAUUUGACGGGAAGGAUUCCAGAAAAGAUGGGUGACAUGACACUAUUGGAAUCGCUUGACUUAUCAGUGAACAGUCUCACAGGGGUGAUACCUUCGAGCUUUUCUGCUAUGAAUUUCCUGGCCCGUUUGAAUCUGUCUUACAACAACUUAUCAGGAAAAAUACCCACUAGUGGUCAACUGUCAACCUUUGACUCAUGGACAAAUGUGGGUAACAAAGACCUUUGCGGUACGCCACUGCCAGAUUGCCCUGUUUAUCGAAUUCCACCUGACGCCAGAGUUAAAGAUGAUGAGAAGCUCGACAAAUUAUUGGAGUACACCAGUAUUGUGGUCGGAUUUGUGGCUGGCUUUUGGCUGUUUACUGGCACGCUCAUCACGAAGCAGGUCAUCAGAUUCGCUUUCUUCCGAUGGAUCGACAAGGCCAGCGAUUGGAUCUACGUUCAGUUUACAGUUAAGCUUGCGAAGCUCAAAUCCAAAUGGCAAACGAUGACAUGAACUGUGGGUAAGUGUUCAUGUUGUCCUUUGUAGUUAGUCACAUCGAAAUCUUGUGUUAGCGUGUAAUGAUGUUAUCAUAUUAUGCUGUCAUGAUUAAACAGAAAUAAGCAUCAUAGAUGGUCUAUAAUCGUUAUAUGUAUUAGUUAUAGUAUCAUAACAUCUCCAUCUAUCAUCAUUUUGCCAUCGUCUGGCCUUCGUUUAUCAAUCGAUACAUAUCUGACAACUAAAAGAUUGAUUGCAAGUGUCUCUGUCAUACUCUGUUGGUCCCUUUUUUUUUGUUGCAAAAAUCAAUUAUAUUUCUUGAGAUUAUAUACAAAGUUCAUUGUUUCAUAGAGAUUGUUUUCUCCUGUUAUUGUUGUUACAAUAAAAGAAAAUUCAACCAUGUUAUUAUGCUCUAGUGAUACAAUUAGACAAUAAAAUCGUAACCAUUGUUGUGGACAUGAUCUUGGUAUUUGGCCAAAAUUGAUGUUUUAUUCCAGUACCGAAUCUUUCUUUUCAGAGAUGAGAUUGUAUAUUUUGAUCAUUAUCAAAAUCCAUAUUACUAUGAGACUCACUCUUUAAAAAAAUCAUUAUUAACCAUUUAUAUAUCCAUUUUUUACAAAAGUAUAUUUUUUGAAAAAAAUAAAAUCCAUGUUCAACCAAACAAAUUUAUCCAUCAAGUUUUUCUAGAAGUAAAUUAUUAUUUAUAAAUACAUUUUCAAAUUCAUGUCUAUCACAGUUUAGACUGCUUAUUCCUAUCAUCGGGUGCUAAAGCUCGAGACAUUUGAUUAUAUAAUUAUCUUAAGAAAGAUAUUCUAUGUUUCUUGAAUGAUUUUUUUUGACAGAUCAACAUUUUAUGUUACGGGUGAUUGUUUCAGUAUUCUUAACGGACAUCUAAAUAUGGUCGAUUAGUGUCCGACCAAAUCAUCUCGAAUUGAGGACAUCAAAAAUUGAAUGCCAGUAACCUAAGACAUAAUUGAAUAGCAAAUAUCUAUGAAUUACUUGUCAAAUUACUUAAGAACAACAUUACAAAAAAAAUCCUUUACGGUUAUGAUUUUAUUGUUCAAAACACACAUGUCUUAGAUGUGUAUUAUAAGGUUUUAUCUAUAAGAUCGUCCUUUAAGAUAUAUGUAGAAAGAUGUUUAGAGUCUUUGAAAUCGGGUUUGAGUUGAAUUAGAUUUAUUUUAUUUUAUCUAAUUAAUUUAAUCAAUUUAUUUCUUGUAAUAUUCAUUACAAAAUAACUAUCUACUAAAUGGAGAUAGUUAUAUAUUUUAACUACAAAAGACUCAAUCCUUGAAGACUCGUUAGUUAAUAAGCUCUAUCUUUAAGAGUUGAAUAGCUCUUGUCGAAUAUAUCCUCGACUUAGUUUUAUAAUUCGUUGGUUGAUAAGCUCUAAGGGUAUUACUCCUUAAGUAACAUACUAUCUAUACCAUCUAACGUAUAUAUUUAUUACGCAUUCUAGUAUAUCUCUGGUUUAGUUUUGAUGAAGAUCAUUUACUUGAGUUAUUUUAUCAUCAUACUAAACUUGUGACAUAGGUUAUCUGAAAGGAGGAUAGCUCUAUGAGAUUGUUAAACAUAAUAUAUAAUCAAAAUCGAUGUCGAUACUUAAGAAAUGACAUGUACUCUUAUCGUCGAAGAAAAAAAUAUAUCCACACUACAUUACUAAUGAAUAAAUUGAAACUCCAUUUAUGAUAAUCGAACAAAUGUGACUCCUAUCGAUUGGUCAACAAAAUUGGAACAUUAAUAAAUCAUUCAACUAUUAGAUGAGUUGAUUUUUUCUUUCACAAUUAAACUCUUCACAUCUAAAUCUUCAUUAUUCAUCAAAUACCCAAGUCUCACGUAUUAAUCAAUCAACUCUCGUUCACGUUGACCAGUGUGCAUGCAUCAGAGUCUCCGAGAGACAUAUGUGUCUCAUUCAAAUUGACUUGCGCCGAGCCAAAUAUAAGACUUUCUUGGUCAUAUGAUAGAAGCCUGGAUGAGUGUUCAGACUUUAUGCACUCAUACACAACUUUUUCCAACCUCACGCCACAUAGAAGGUGGAAAUUAAAGGUGUGAGAUCUUUCGUGGCAAUUCACCUCUUCCAUCCCAUAUCCAAUCAUUCAAUAUCCAUGCUUUUCAAUACCGAAAUUUUUUUUGACGUGUUCAUCGGGGAACAUCAACAUUUACUUUUUUUUUUCUUUUAUAUGAAAGAAUUUUAGAUAAUUUACUUAGAAAAUAAGUCAUGAUUAACUUUUUACCAAGAGCAUUCUUUUUACCAUGAUUAACUUUCAGAAAAUUCUUCCAUCUCGAUACUAAUUUUGUGACAAAGGUGAUCUCGAAGCAAAUUUAUUCUAUAACGUUGAUAGAUGAAUCAAAAUUGACAUCAACACUUGAAAAGUGGCACGUUAAAGUCCCAACCACUCUUCUACGGUAAUUAAGCAACUGUGACUCCUCUUGACCAGUUGACAAAAUCUCUGACGCUAAUCUUUAUCAUGACUUGAUUGUUGUUUCGUAGUUAAGCUCUUGGCAUCUAAAUCUCCAGCAUUCAUCAAACACCCAACUCUCACGUGUUAAUCAAUAACUCUCAAUGACAUCAGAGUUUCCAAGAGACAGAUGUAUCUCAUUCACAUUAAUUUGCACCUUAGCAACACGAUAAGAUGCAAGACUUUGACUUGCGUCUCAGCCUUCGAUGAGUAUGGAUGAUUUCCCUCCGACCUCACACCAUAUGGAAGACAAAGAUGGAAAUCAAAGCAUCGUGACCUAUCAUUGGAAGAGUCCUCUUCCAAUAUUUCACUCCAUCCAUAUCAAACCAUUCAUCACGUCAUCAGAAAUAUCCAUACUUUCCAACGUCGAAAGUCUCCUUGACUUGUAUGUCGGGGAGCAUAAACAAUUUAUAUCCUUUUUUUAUUUUAUAUAAAAAUAUAUUUUAAAUAAUUUAUUAAAAAAAGAUCAUAAUUAGCGUUUAUCAAAGAGUAUUCUUUUUUCUGAAUUUACUAAAGAGCUCUUUAUUUUAGGGAUUUUUACAUAGUUUUACGGUGUGAAUCUAUCCAAGUUCGAUUUAAAAAAACAAAAUAUCUAAAAUCAUCUAAAAAUAGAAAACCCAAUGAAAUUACUAUUUCAUGUUGUAUUUAUCUUCUAUAUUAAAAUUGAGUUGAAUAAGCUUUUAAGUCAUUAUACUCAUACAUGUACCAUGUUAUAUUCGAUGGCAGAAUCAACAUAGGAAAUAUAUCACUUAAGAAACCUCUAGAAUCACCUUAAAAAUAGAAAAGAAGAAUGAAAUCAACAUGUAUAUCAUAUUUGCCUGCUCUAUCGAAAGAUACAAGUAAGUUUGUGUUACACUUUGUAACGCUAGUAAAUCAACGCUGGAUGGAACCCUCACAUCAGAAUUAAGUUUCCUUUGACUUCUAACUGCGUAUUAGCCACACUAAAGUACGAGUAUGCAUGACCUUGACUGCGUAUUAGCCACUGCAUCAAUUCUACAGAUAAUGUGCGUACAAGUCAUGGGGAUUUCCGGUGGUGAUGUGCCUAUACAUACCCACAGAGACAUCCUCUGCAACCUCACACCUUCACAUUUCUUCUCUCUCGAGCGUUCCAUCAAUGGCUGCAGCUGGUAGCGGCAGUUUCCAGGACGGACGUAUUGCCUCGAAACGUCUCAUGAUGCUCGUGGCCCUGCUUCUCGUCUCCUGCUGUCUCGGCCAUGGCUUCGGCGAUGAGGAUCAUGUCGAGGUGGAGGGAAUCGGCAGCAGUUGCAUGGAAAGCGAGAGGAGAGCUCUCCUCGCCAUCAAAUCCGAUAUGUACGACCCCGACAACUGGUUUUCUUCUUGGACCGGCAAAGACUGCUGUGGGUGGAGAGGUGUGGCCUGCGACCACACCACCGGCCAUGUCACCAAGCUCGACCUCCGCUAACCCUACACAUACGAAUUGUGGGAUAUGUUUAACGAUGGGGAAACAAUAGGCGUGAGCAAGGUAAAUCCAUCUUUGCAAGAACUGAAGCAUUUGCAAUACGCCCCUGUGCCUAAAAUGAUCGCUUCACUAGUCCACUUGGAAUAUCUCAACCUAUCUUAUGCCAUGUUCGAUGGACUGAUUCCUCCUCAGCUGGGGAACCUCUCAAACCUACACUAUCUCGACCUUCAGGGAUGGCACAGUUUAUACAUCGAUAGUCUUGAUUGGCUCUCCCGUAUUCCUUCUCUGAAAUAUCUUGACAUGAGUUAUGUCAACCUCUCCGAGGCAACCAAUUGGUUCUACAUAAUUAAUUCAAUCCCCACACUUGAAGUGCUACAUUUGUUU
rnacentral:lncRNA from 1 species